UACGGAGGUGGCAAGCGUUGCUCGGAAUCACUGGGCUUAAAGGGAGCGUAGGCGGGCUGCCAAGUCCGGGGUGAAAUCCUCCAGCUUAACUGGAGAACUGCCUCGGAUACUGGAAGUCUCGAGGAGGGUAGGGGCAAGUGGAACCGUGGGUGGAGCGGUGAAAUGCGUUGAUAUCCAUGGGAACUCCGGUGGCGAAGGCGACUUGCUGGACCCUUUCUGACGCUGAGGCUCGAAAGCCAGGGGAGCAAACGGG
rnacentral:rRNA from 1 species